UCCCGUAACGAGCGCAACCCUUGUCCUUAGUUACCAGCACGUUAUGGUGGGCAACUCUAAGGAGACUGCCGGUGACAAACCGGAGGAAGUGGGGAUGACGUCAAGUCAUCAUGGCCCUUACGGCCUGGGCUACACACGUGCUACAAUGGUCGGUACAAAGGGUUGCCAAGCCGCGAGGUGGAGCUAAUCCCAUAAAACCGAUCGUAGUCCGGAUCGCAGUCUGCAACUCGACUGCGUGAAGUCGGAAUCGCUAGUAAUCGUGAAUCAGAAUGUCACGGUGAAUACGUUCCCGGGCCUU
rnacentral:rRNA from 1 species